CCCAGACUCCUACGGGAGGCAGCAGUGAGGAAUAUUGCACAAUGGGGGAAACCCUGAUGCAGCGACGCCGCGUGAGUGAAGAAGUAAUUCGUUAUGUAAAGCUCUAUCAGCAGGGAAGAAAAUGACGGUACCUGAGUAAGAAGCCCCGGCUAACUACGUGCCAGCAGCCGCGGUAAUACGUAGGGGGCAAGCGUUAUCCGGAUUUACUGGGUGUAAAGGGAGCGUAGACGGCAGAGCAAGUCUGAAGUGAAAGCCCGCGGCCCAACUGCGGGACUGCUUUGGAAACUGCCCGGCUAGAGUGCUGGAGAGGUAAGCGGAAUUCCUAGUGUAGCGGUGAAAUGCGUAGAUAUCAGGAGGAACACCGGUGGCGAAGGCGGCCUGCUGGACCGCGACUGACGUUGAGGCUCGAAAGCGUGGGGAGCGAACAGGAUUAGAUACCCCCGUAAGC
rnacentral:rRNA from 1 species